AAAAUUGUAAAGCAUGAAGGAAAAAGUAGGCUGACCGGGAUUGUUAAAGAGAGCCAAUGGUUGGUGCGAAUUGGUAACAUAAGUUUGCCGAAGAUCUCACCUUCAAACAUUUUAUACACAGGUGAAAUUACCUAGUAACCUGUGACGCCUCAAAAGCGUUAUCCAUUGUCUACCAAUUAAGGAUAAAGGUAAGGAAGGUUUACCCCUUCUUUUCUUUAUUAAAUUAGGGUGGUACCACGAAUAACUUUCGUCCCUAUU
rfam:Candidatus Atribacteria bacterium RBG_16_35_8 RBG_16_scaffold_8546, whole genome shotgun sequence.